rnacentral:rRNA from 1 species
UACGGGGGGGGCAAGCGUUGUUCGGAAUUACUGGGCGUAAAGGGCUCGUAGGCGGCCAACUAAGUCGGACGUGAAAUCCCCAGGCUCAACCUGGGAACUGCGUCUGAUACUGGAUGGCUUGAAUUCGGGAGAGGGAUGCAGAAUUCCAGGUGUAGCGGUGAAAUGCGUAGAUAUCUGGAGGAAUACCGGUGGCGAAGGCGGCAUCCUGGACCGACAUUGACGCUGAUGAGCGAAAGCUAGGGGAGCAAACGGG